UUUCACACCUAGUUCGUUAGGAUUUUUUUUUUUUUUUAAAUUCUGGUGCGUUUACCCCCUAUGUUUGGUUCGUUUGAACAGGUGUGAAUACCAUCUGGACUCUGAUGUGCACUACACAAGCGCACAGUUAGUUGAGGUAGUAUGUACAUGUAGGUAGAGUUAUUACAGUGACUACACAUAGAUGACAAAAGAGACCUGCAGUGGUGUAAAGAGGGGGGAGGGGGCAUUGCAAAACUUUUGGGUAGCCAUUUGACUAGAUGUUCAGGAGUCUUAUGGCUUGGGGGUAGAAGCAGUUUAGAAGCCUCUUGGACCUAGACUUGGCGCUCCAGUACUGCUUGCCUUGCGGUAGCAGAGAUAAGUCUUACUUGGGUGGCUGGAGUCUUUGACAAUUUUUAGGGCCUUCCUCUAACACUGCGUGGUAUAGAGGUCCUGGAUGGCAGGAAGCUUGGCCCCAGUGAUAUACUGGGUCGUUCGCCCUACCCUCUGUAGUGCCUUGUGGUCGGAGGCCGAGCAGUUGCCGUACCAGGCAGUGAUGUAACCAGUCAGAAUGCUCUUGAUGGUGCAGCUGUAGAACCUUUUGAGGAUCUGAGGACCAUGCCAAAUCUUCUCAGUCUCCUGAGGAGGAAUAGGUUUUGUCAUGCCAUCUUCACGACAGUCUUGGUGUGUGUGGACCAUGUUAGUUUGUUGGUGAUGUGCACACCAAGGAAUUUGAAGCUCUCAACCUGCUCCACUGCAGCCCCAUCUAUGCUCGGCCCUCUUUUUCCUGUAGUCCACAAUCAUCUCCUUUUUCUUGAUCACGUUGAGGGAGAGGUUGUCCUGGCACCACACGGCCAGGUCUCUGACCUCCUCCCUAUAGGCUGUCUUGUUGUUUUCGGUGAUCAGGCCUAUUGUUGUGUCAUCCGCAAAUUUUAAUGAUGGUGUUGGUGUCGUGCCUGGCCAUGCAGUCAUAAGUGAACAUGGAGUACAGGAAGGGACUGCACACGCAUCCCUGAUGGGCCCCUGUGUUGAGCAACAGUGUGGCGGAUGUGUUGUUACCACCUGUGGGCGGCCCGUCAGGAAGUCCAGGAUCCAGUUGCAGAGGGAGGUGUUUAGUCCCAGGGUCCUUAACUUAUUGAUGAGCUUUGAGGGCACUAUGGUGUUGAACGCUGAGCUUGGUUGAAAUUGAUUGUUGAUCAUUGAUAGAGAACUGUUUUCAAGUCUUUCCAUAGAUUUUCAAGCAGACUUAAGUUAAAGCUCCCGAGUGGUGCAGUGGUCUAAGGCACUCUAUCUCAUUGCAAGAGGUGUCACUUCAGUCCCUGGUUCGAAUCCAGUCAGUAUCACAUCCGGCUGUGAUUGGGAGUCCCAUAGGGCGGCGCACAAUUGGCCCAGCGUCGUCCAGGUUUGGCCGGGUUUGGCCGUCAUUGUAAAUUAAAAAUGUGAUCUUAACUGACUAGUUGAAUAAAAUAAAAAUAACAUUUUAAAAAACUAACUCAGCCACUCUGGAACAUUCACUGUCUUGGUAAGCAACUCCAGUGUAGAUUUGGUCUGGUUUUUUAGGUUAUUGUCCUGCUGAAUGGUGAAUUCAUCUCCCAGUGUCUGGUAGAAAGCAGACUGAACCAGGUUUUCCUCUAGGAUCUUUCCUGUGCUUAGCUCUAUUCCGUUUCUUUUUUUAUUCUACAAAACCUCCGCAGCCCUUAACGAUUACAAGCAUACCUAUAACAUGAUGCAGCCACCACAAUCUUUGAAAAUAUGGAGAGUGGUACUCAGUAAUGUGUUUGGGGCAAAUGCAAUACAACUCCUAGUAUAUAGGACAAAAAGUGGGGGGAAAGCCACAUUUUUUUGCAGUAUUACUUUAGUGACUUUUUGCACCAGGAUGAAUGUUUUGUAGUAUUUUUAUUCUGUGCAGGCCUCCUUCUUUUCACCCUGUCAAUUAGGUUAUUGUGGAGUAACUACAAUGUUGUUGAUUCAUCCUCAGUGUUCUCCUAUCACAGCCAUUAAACUCUGUAACUGUUUAAAGUCACCAUUGGCCUCAUGGCAGUUUCCUUCCUCUCUGGCAACUGAGUUAGGAAGGACACUUGUAUCUUUGUGGUGACUGGGUGUAAUGAUACACCAUCCAAAGUGUAAUUAAUAACUUCACCAUGCUCAAAGGGAUAUUCAAUGUCUGCUUUUUCUAUUUUUACCAUCUACCAAUAGGUUCCCUUAUUUGUGAGGAAUUGGAAAACAUCCCUGUUCUUUGUGGUUGAAUCUGUGUUUGAAAUUCACUGCUCAACUGAAGGACCUUAAAUUGAUCUGUAUGUGUGGGUUACAGUGAUGAGGCAGUCAUAAAAAAAAAAUGUUAAACACUUAUUGCACAGUGAGUCCAUGCAACUUAUGUGACUCCUGAACAUAUUUAGGCUUGCAUAACAAAGGGGUUGAAUACUUAUUGACUCAAGACAUUUCAGCUUUUCAUUUUAUAUUAAGUUGUAGAGAAACAAUUAAGUUGUAGAGAAACAUCAUUCCACUUAAUCAAUUUUAAUUUCAGGCUGUAACGCAACAAAAUGUGGGAAAAAGUCAAGGGGUGUGAGUACCUUCUCAAAAGCACUGUAUAACAUACUUUUCAAUGUAAAUUUUGUCGGAUCAACCAAAAAGUUGUUUAUUGCAGCUUUUAACCAUUGUAUGUCAAAAUAAAUAAUUUAGAUCCAAUAAUAAAAACAAAUAAACAGUUCUACAACUGAACAUCAAUAAUCAAGAAAGUACCUGCCCUGCAACAAAAUGCUGAGUGAUACAGCGUAUUUAAGCAAUAAGGCCCGAGGGGGUGCGGUAAAUGGUCAAUAUACCAAGGCUAAGGGCUGUUCUUAAGCACAACGCAACGCAGAGUGCCUGGAUACAACACUUAGCCGUGGUAAGCUGUUCAUGAAUAAACGUUUUUGGAAGUGAUCCAUGCUAAAGGAGCUCCUUAAACCUGACUUUGAUCUCAGAUGGAUUAGACCCUUUCUUCUUAAAGGUUUCUGCCCCAUAUCAUCGCAAAGCCUAUCUCCAACCUUUUUAACCUUUCUCUCCUUUGGGGAGGUUCCCAUUGGUUCCCUUUAUUUAAAGGGGGAGAUCAAGCUGAUCCUAACUGUUAUAGGCCUAUUUCUGUUUUGCCCUGUUUAUCAAAAGUGUUGGAAAAAAUAGUCAAUAAUCAACUGACUGACUUUCUUGAUGUCUAUAGUAUUCUCUUGGGUAUGCAAUCUGGUUUCCGCUCGGGUUGUGGAUGUGUCACUGCAACCUUAAAGGUCCUCAAUGAUGUCACCAUUGCCCUCGAUUCUAAACAAUAUUGUGCUGCUAUUUUUAUUGACUUGGCCAAAGCUUUUGAUACGGUUUACCAUUCCAUUCUUGUGGGCUAGCUAAGGAGUAUUGGUGUCUCUGAGGGGUCUUUGGCCUGGUUUAUUAACUACUUCAGAGUGCAGUAUAUCAAGUCAGAAAAUCUGCUGUCUCAGCCACUACCUGUCACCGAGGGAGUACCCCAAGGCUCGAUCCUAGGCCCCACGCUCUUCUUAAUUUACAUCAACAACAUGCUCAGGCAGUAGGAAGCUCUCUCAUCCAUUUAUAUGCAGAUGAUACAGUCUUGUACUCGGCUGGACCCUCCACGGAUUUUGUGUUAAAUGCUCUACAACAAAGCCAACAUGCUUUCUCUGGUAGUCACCACAUACAAGUACUUGGGAGUAAUGCUAGAUGGUGCAUUGUCCUUCUCUUAGCACAUUGCCUUUUGGUAGGCCAUCAUUGUAAAUAAGAAUUUGUUCUUAACUGACUCGCCUAGUUAAAUAAAUAAAAAAUGCACAAUCACGUACAAUCAUACGGCCUCCCGAGUGGGGCAGUGGUCUAAGGCACUGUAUCGCAGUGCUAGUUGUGCCACUAGAGAUUCUGGGUUAGAGUCCAGGCUCUGUAGCAGCCGGCCGCGAUCGGGAGACCAAUGGGGUGGCGCACAAUUUCCCCAGCGUCGUCCUGGUUAGGGGAGGGUUUGGCCGGCAGGGAUGUCCCAUCGCUACUCCUGUGGCGGGCUGGGUGCAGUGCACGCUGACACGGUCGCCGGGUGCACGGUGUUUCCUACGACACAAUGGUGCGGCUGGCUUCCGGGUUAAGCAACCAUUGUGUCAAGAAGCAACUGUGGCUUGGUUGGGUUGUGUUUCGGAGGACGCACUGCUCUCGACCUUUGCCUCUCCUGAGUCUGUACGGGAGUUGCAGCGAUGAGACAAGACUGUAACUACCAAUUGGAUAACUGGGAUAAAUUGGAGAGGAAAAAGGUGUAAAAAAAAAAACCGUUAGGUGAGACACAAUUUCAUUUGGCCUUUUAAGGGAAGGGCUGUUAUGUUAACAUGGUAAUUUGGGCACUCCCUGGUCUGUGAUUUUGUUUUAAAUCUCAGACUGCAAUGUCUUCCUAGCGGCAGACAGUUGCAACAAACUCAAACUAACAUCGAAAAACAACCUAGCAUGUGAACAAAAUUAUUUAACUGACCAAGAAACACGUCAACAUUUCGUCAUUUCGACCUGCUUCUUUCUAAACUUGGGCUUUGGAUUAUUUUUUUAAAUUAUUGUUCCCGAACGCUCUGUGUGACCACCUGCCAACGUGGUUGGCGGAAUAUACUUUCAUACAAAAUCUACCCUCAUUUGGCUGGUGUUAAAUUCCAACCAUGGUGACAAUAUUACCAAAUUGAGAAUGAAGAGACUGAUGAUCAGCGCAGCAUGCAUUGACUCAAAAGGGAACAGAGUUUACCAAAUAGCACUUAUUUCAUAUCCUCCUACAGAAGUCGAUGCAGGACAGACGUUUUGAUUGCUAUACCCUAUCGUAAAGAGAAGAUUCCAAGGUUUCUAAUUAACCUAUUUUUGCCAAACAGCUCUACAAAUUUUGCUGAUGGUCUCUCUGUUUCAUAACUUUUUCCUAGAAUAACCAUGGCUCCAUGCCCAUGUGGGUACAGGUGACAAUCAGCAACAGCUAUUUGGGAUUUUAUUUUUCUGUUAUAUUCCAUUAUAAAUUUACUGUAAAGUAUGUGUUGACUGUGGUAGGGCAUGGCGCAGCCAUAGAUUUGCAUGGCUCAGCCAUGCACAGAUAAAUACAAUUAUGUAAUCACUAAUUGUGAAUGAAGAACAGGGUGGGCCACAUUGUAUUAAUAUUGUCUAAUUAUACUCUCAAAACAGUUUACCCUUUAUCAGUCCACCAAAUCCAAGCAGUCUUAUUAGUUCACUCUAGGUCUAUUUGGAGUAGGUUACACAGUGAGCGCGUGCGUAAUUUACAAUGAGAAGAGCAAGACGAAUGGAUGAACAUGCUGCAUUGGCGUUACUACAAGAUUUGAACGAGAACGACUUGGAUAGCGGGGAAGAAAUGGAUCACGACAUCUCUGAUUAUCCUUCUGAUUAGUGCUGAACAGCUUUCCAUAUCUGGGAAAGACUCAUAUCGGGCAGCAGGUGAGCGAGUGUUGGAUAAUGUGGUGGUGAUGCUUGUGGAACCUUAUAUUGGCAAGGGGCAAAAUGUCACCAUGGACAAUUUCUUCACUGUCAUUGGCAAACAAGCCUGGUCGGCACCAUAAACAAAGGAGAUGGGAGCUCCCUCCCUUAGUGCAAAAAUAAGGCAACUGCACAGUAGCAGUUUCCCACAACCUAGUUAAAUAAAGGUUAAAUAAAUAAUUAUUCUAACAGUGCUUCGGAAUUGCAAGCCAACACUCGCACAUUACCAAGGCAAGAAAUAACAUUUGAGUCUUGAGCACCAUACAUCCGACAGUCGACAGUUGCCAUUGAUCGGGACACAACGAGAAAACCGGAGACUAUUGCAUACUGCAACGAACAAAGGUCGGUGUGGAUGUUUUGAAUUAGAUGGCACUGCUGUACUCGGUGAAAGGUGGAACUCGCCGCUGGCUUGUUGCUGUGUUCAACAACCUGCUUGACUUGGCUGCUAACAACGCACACGUGGUGUUCAAGCAGUAGUUUAACAAAACCAUGAACCGGAGAGACUUUAUCUGGCACACGGCUACGUGAGAGAUAUAUGAGGGCCAAGGCAGCAGCAAAGAUUCCACGCGAGCCAUUGCGCAAGCAAAAUUGCAUUCAGCUCCCGGGGAAGAGAAACUGCCAGGUAGGCAGAUGCACUCGGAACAGAACCCGCGACACCAGUUUCAGCUGAAAGUGACUUGUUUGUGGGAAGUGUUGCAAGUGAAAGUGACAAAGAUUUGUGUCGAUUGUUAGGACAAGGGAUUGUUAUCCCUAAACGAGAUCCAACUGUUGGGUGAAGACGCACACCAUACUGUAAGCACGAGCGAAGCAAAAAAUGUGUCCAAUAUCUUGCUGACUUGGUUUGGGUAUUUUUAUUUGUUUUGUCGUUAUAAAAAUGAGCUUUUACUGUGUUCCAACGUAUAUUUUUGAUUCAUAGUUGUAACAAAGGCACUGUACAAAUAAAAUGUAUUUGACACUUGAAA